CUUGGGAGCUGUCUUAACAUGCAGUCGAGCGGUAACAGGUCUUCGGACCCUGACUACUGGCGAACGGGUGAGUAAUACAUCGGAACGUGCCCCUGCGUGGGGGAUAACUACUCGAAAGAGUAGCUAAUACCGCAUACGAUCUGAGGAUGAAAGCGGGGGACCUUCGGGCCUCGCGCGAUUGGAGCGGCCGAUGGCACAUUUUGUAUUUGGGGGGAUAAAAGCUUACCAAGCCGACGAUCUGUAGCUGGGCUGAGAGGACGACCAGCCACACUGGGACUGAGACACGGCCCACACUCCUACGGGAGGCAGCAGUGGGGAAUUUUGGACAAUGGGCGAAAGCCUGAUCCAGCAAUGCCGCGUGCAUGAUGAAGGCCUUCGGGUUGUAAACUGCUUUUGUACGGAACGAAAAAGCUCCUUCUAAUACAGGGGGCCCAUGACGGUACCGUAAGAAUAAACACCGGCUAACUACGUGCCACCACCCGCGGUAAUACGUAGGGUGCGAGCGUUAAUCUCAAUUACUGGGCGUAAAGCGUGCGCAGGCGGUUAUGUAAGACAGAUGUGAAAUCCCCGGGCUCAACCUGGGAACUGCAUUUGUGACUGCAUGGCUAGAGUACGGUAGAGGGGGAUGGAAUUCCGCGUGUAUAGUGAAAUGCGUAUAUAUGCGGAGGAACACCGAUGGCGAGGCAAUCCCCUGGACCUGUACUGACGACUCAUGCACGAAAGCGUGGGGAGCAAACAGGAUUAUAUACCCUGGUGAGUCCACGCCCUAAACGAUGAUCGACUGGUUGUUGUGAGUUACUUUGUCUCACUAACGAACCUAACGCGUGAAGUUUGACCGCCUGGGGGAGUACGGCCGCAGGUUGAUACUCAUAGGAUUUGACGGCGACCCGCACGAGCAGUGGAUGAUGUUGUUUUAUUCGUUGC
rnacentral:rRNA from 1 species